UACGUAGGGGGCAAGCGUUGUCCGGAAUCAUUGGGCGUAAAGCGCGUGUAGGCGGCCCGGUAAGUCCGCUGUGAAAGUCCAGGGCUCAACCCUGGGAUGCCGGUGGAUACUGUCGGGCUCGAGUCCGGAAGAGGCGAGUGGAAUUCCUGGUGUAGCGGUGAAAUGCGCAGAUAUCAGGAGGAACACCGAUGGCGAAAGCGGCUCACUGGACCUGAUCUGACACUGAGGUGCGAAAGCUAGGGUAGCAAACGGG
rnacentral:rRNA from 1 species